UCCGUCACGCCUUUCUAACAGGUCGUCUCGGCCAACCUUCCAUCCCCUCCGUUUCUCUCCUCGCAUCGGGCAUGAGAACGCGCUUCGGUUAGACAAUUCUACGAACAGUUGACACACUCUCUCACUCUAUUCGCUGCCCGCAAGGCAAUGCAACAACCACCUUCACCACCGUGAAACGCCACCCGCAUCCACAAGUUCCACCCCUUAACUCCACCGCCCACAGUCAGUCCCUGCACUAACCCUCUCCCACCAAAACCCAUCACUUUCACUCCUUCAAUUCCCAACUCUUUCUUUUUUUCUCGUCAGAUGGCUUCUACAAGCUCAACGCCCAUCGUCCCUUCCACUCUUGCUCUACCCGAGGACAUGGCCGCCAGGGCCUUGAACAAACGCUAUGAAGGCCUCGUUACCGUGCGAACUAAGGCCAUCAAGGGGAAAGGAGCCUGGUACUGGACCCACUUAGAGCCUAUUCUCCUUCGCAACCCGGACACGAACCUCCCCAAAGCCGUCAAACUUAAGUGCUCCUUGUGCGAUGCCGUUUUCUCCGCCUCCAAUCCCUCCAGAACAGCCUCGGAGCACUUGAAGAAGGGCGCUUGCCCUAAUUACAGCUCCGUUUCCCGACCCAACAGCGGUUCUCUCUCGCCUUUACCGAUAUCCUCGGUGCCGUCGCCGUUACCGUCUUUACACAAUCACAGAAAGCGAAGCUCUCAAAUGGUUACUCAUCCUUUGCAUUCAUGCCCUUCUUCUUCGUACCAAGCUAGUUCUUUACCUUGGGUCGAGUCUUCGCGGUUCUAUCACAACCCAAACCACGACGGAUCGCAUUUCUCGCCACGCCAGAACACGGUUGGCACGCCGCGUAAUUCGGGGCUGAAUCAGCACCAUUUGGUCUUGUCGGGUGGGAAAGAGGAUUUGGGUGCACUGGCAUUGUUGGAAGAUAGUGUGAAAAGGCUCAAGAGUCCUAAAGGGUCAUCUGGUCCUGCUUUGAGCAAGGACCAGAUUGAUUCCGCACUUCAAUUGCUCGCAGAAUGGUUCUACGAGUCAUGUGGGUCUGUCUCAGUUUCGAGCCUCGAGCACCCCAAGUUUAGAGCGUUUCUAAACCAGGUGGGUUUGCCUGGGUUAUUGCGGCGCGAGCUCACGGGUGCUCGGCUUGAUGCUAAGUUCCAUGAGGUGAAGACUAAGUCGGAUGCUAGAAUAAGAGACGCUAUGUUUCUUCAGGUUGCUAGUGAUGGAUGGAAGGGAAAGAGUUGUUGUGGGUUUACUUGUGAUGGAGAGAAUUUGAUUAAAUUUACGGUUAAUCUUCCGAAUGGGACAAGUGAUUUUCAAAAGGUGGUGUUCACAGGAGGAAGGGUGUCAGCGAAGUAUGCAGAGGAGGUUUUAUGGGAAGCGGUAACUGGUGUGUGUGGGAGUGGUGUGCAGAGAUGUGUAGGGAUAGUUGCAGAUAAGUAUAAGGCCAAGGCAUUGAGGAACUUGGAGAUUCAGAAUCAUUGGAUGAUAAAUCUCUCUUGUCAGCUUCAGGGAUUUGUAAGUUUGAUCAAGGAUUUUAACAAAGAACUUCCACUUUUCAGGACUGUCACCGAGAAUUGCAUAAAAGUUGCAAAUUUUGUAAAUAAUACUUCUCAAGUUAGGAAUAGUUUCCUCAAGUACAAGAUGCAGGAACUUGAGUAUGCUGGGUUGCUGCGAGUUCCUUCGCCAAAAUGUGAUACUUCCAAGAAUUUUGGACCGGUUUAUGCGAUGUUGGAAGAUAUACUCAGCUGUGCCCAGGUGCUCCAAAUGGUUGUACUGGAUGAAACGUAUAAGGUGGCAUGUGUGGAGGAUUCAAUUGCAAGAGAGGUUGCUGGGCUGAUUCAAACCGGGGGGUUUUGGAAUGAGUUGGAGGCAGUAUUUUCGCUUGUCAAGCUGAUCAGAGAGAUGGUUCAGGAGAUUGCAGCUGACAGGCCAUUAAUUGGGCAAUGCCUACCUCUUUGGGAGGAGUUGAGGGGGAGAGUGAAGGACUGGUGUGCUAAAUUCAACAUUGCCGAGGGACCCGUCGAAAAAAUAUCUGAAAAGCGAUUCAGAAAAAACUACCACCCAGCAUGGUCGGCUGCAUUUAUACUGGACCCCCUUUACUUGAUGAGGGACACGAGUGGAAAAUACCUUCCACCAUUCAAGUGUUUGACGCAUGAGCAGGAGAAGGAUGUCGAUAAGCUCAUAACCAGGCUGGUUUCCAGGGAAGAAGCUCAUGUUGCAUUGAUGGAGCUCAUGAAAUGGAGGUCAGAAGGGCUCGACCCUCUUUAUGCUCAAGCCGUUCAGGUAAAACAGCGAGAUCCUGUUACUGGAAAGAUGAAAAUUGCAAACCCACAGAGCAGUAGACUUGUGUGGGAAACUUGCUUGAGUGAGUUUAAGUGUCUGGGUAAGGUUGCAGUGAGGGUCCUCUUCCUCCAUGCAACGUCUUGCGCGUUCAAGUGUAGUUGGUCUUCCAUGAAAUGGGUUUGGGUCCAAAGACACCCAAGGGUAGGCCUGGAAAGGGCUCAAAAAAUGAUAUAUAUUGCAUCUCAUGCAAAGCUUGAAAGACGGGAUUUUUCGAAUGAGGAAGAAAAGGAUGCAGAGCUGUUUGCAGUGGUGGGCAGUGAUGGUGAUGUGCUCAAUGAGGUCUUUUUCGAUGCAUCCUCAGUGGCUGGAUUUGCUUGAACUGGUUGGGGGAAGGGCAAACCGGAGUUGAUCACUACGAUGGUCAACCUUGUAAGAACUCAAGAAUUCUUGAGCAAAGUGGAAGCAAGGAGAGCUGUCAGUAUGAGGAGGCACAUAAGAUGGCUGAAAAGGAUAUUGCAACAAACUUGAAUUUUGGAUGUACAUUUUGGUGAAUAUUUUUCACUAAAAACCAGCAGGUUGGUGAUUCUAGAGGUGUUGAUAUUAUUUGCUUGCAGUUGUCAUGUACCUUUGUGCAGUGAUGCGGUGCUCUUAGCAUAUGGCAUUGCACUCUAUAUUUGGAUGGUUAUCUCAGUAGAAUUUUUCAAUAAACCCUGUCCUACCUUAUCUUAUUAUUGGAACCCCAUCAAAGCGGUUCGACUCUCUCUCUCUCUCUCUCUCUCUCUCUCUCUCUCUCUCUCUCUCUCUCUCUCAUGUUUUGUGCUUUAAAUUUUUCCACGCGCCUUGAGCAGUAAAAGGUGAAAUUUACAAAGUGGGUGUUGAGUAAAAAGUGAAGUAACAGUUUCUCUUCCUCGCCUUUUUAAUGGCUAGGCGAAGCAGUAGUAGAGUAGAGUGAGUGUAUUUGCUUUUUCUACUCAAAUCGAUGAAGAGACAAUGGAUCCUGUCGGCAAGGUUGAGCAAUGCUGACGACUGCUCACCAACUAGAAAGAAAAGCUCUUUCACUCGUAUGGUGAAAAUGAGUUGAGACAUGCUUCUCCAUUUUUCCCUGGGGCUUCCAGGGAUGGUCUUCUGCUCUUCGCUGUUCAAAAUGGUGUCCUAUGGUAUUGAAGGUCCCAAACAAAGUCUGGAAAUUUGCCGCUAUAGAGCACUCCCUGGGAGACUCAAAAGUUCUUCAUGGUUUAGACUGUGCACCCAUAAGAGUCUAGCAUGUUCUCAAAGAUUUCCUAUCUUAUUAACAGUACCAGGCAAUAAUGAACUUUCAUGAUUGUAAAUGAGGUCAUACUGGCAAUAAAGAUCAGCAACCUUUGAGAACAUCCCAACUCAGAUGGAUGCAAAGUUCUACCAAAUGAUUUUAUUACACCACGAGUUGAACCAUGAAGAGCUCAGAUCUCUCCUGUCUUGGAUUAACUUUAUUUUGUCAUGGAUUACUACAUUUUAUUUGUCAUGGUAUAAAGUGGAGAAACUGGAUGGACCAAUUAUGACAUGUGACAUAAAAAAAUCUAAUAUCUACUUAAUGAACAAGUGAUUCUUGAAAAUCUGUCUCAUAUUAUGAUACAAUCUGAGGAAGGAAAUACUUCACAACAUCGUCGUGAUAUAAAAGCCUAUCAAGUUCGGGCAAAGAAAGAUCGAUGCGCGCGCUUUACCGUGCUUAAUCAAUUUUUAGCUACUAGUUGAUAUCCCCUCAUAGGCAAUUUUUAGCUGAUUCAAUAUAUCUUGGGCAAUUGGGCGGUUCUCAAACUUCCAAAUAAGAGUAUUGUGCAUGCUGAUAAGCAUGGUAAAGCGCACGCACCGAUCUUUCUUUAUCCAAGCCUGAUUGACUUUCAUAUCACGACGAUAUUGAGAAAUAUUCUCCUUUUCAGGUUGUAUCAUAAGUUGAGAC